rnacentral:tRNA from 1 species
AACGGGAUAGCUCAGUUGGUAGAGCAGAGGACGAA